rnacentral:rRNA from 1 species
AUGAACGCUGGCGGCGUGCCUAAUACAUGCAAGUCGAGCGAACAGAUAAGGAGCUUGCUCCUUUGACGUUAGCGGCGGACGGGUGAGUAACACGUGGGUAACCUAUCUAUAAGACUGGAAUAACUCCGGGAAACCGGGGCUAAUGCCGGAUAACAUGUUGAACCGCAUGGUUCUACAGUGAAAGGCGGCUUUGCUGUCACUUAUAGAUGGACCGGCGCCGUAUUAGCUAGUUGGUGAGGUAACGGCUCACCAAGGCAACGAUACGUAGCCGACCUGAGAGGGUGAUCGGCCACACUGGAACUGAGACACGGUCCAGACUCCUACGGGAGGCAGCAGUAGGGAAUCUUCCGCAAUGGGCGAAAGCCUGACGGAGCAACGCCGCGUGAGUGAUGAAGGUCUUCGGAUCGUAAAACUCUGUUAUUAGGGAAGAACAAAUGCGUAAGUAACUGUGCGCGUCUUGACGGUACCUAAUCAGAAAGCCACGGCUAACUACGUG